rnacentral:rRNA from 1 species
AUUGAACGCUGGCGGCAGGCCUAACACAUGCAAGUCGAACGGUAACAGGGAUCAGCUUGCUGAUUCGCUGACGAGUGGCGGACGGGUGAGUAAUGUCUGGGAAACUGCCUGAUGGAGGGGGAUAACUACUGGAAACGGUAGCUAAUACCGCAUAACGUCGCAAGACCAAAGAGGGGGACCUUCGGGCCUCUUGCCAUCGGAUGUGCCCAGAUGGGAUUAGCUAGUAGGUGGGGUAACGGCUCACCUAGGCGACGAUCCCUAGCUGGUCUGAGAGGAUGACCAGCCACACUGGAACUGAGACACGGUCCAGACUCCUACGGGAGGCAGCAGUGGGGAAUAUUGCACAAUGGGCGCAAGCCUGAUGCAGCCAUGCCGCGUGUAUGAAGAAGGCCUUCGGGUUGUAAAGUACUUUCAGCGGGGAGGAAGGGAGUAAAGUUAAUACCUUUGCUCAUUGACGUUACCCGCAGAAGAAGCACCGGCUAACUCCG